GAAAAGCCCACGUGGUGAGGGCGUGAGCCAGGAAGAAGGCAGAGAUGCGGUACAGGAGCAAGUGAGAGAGAAAGAGAGAGAAAGAGCCGAAGCUGACUGCAGCUGAUAAGCAGAUCAGCACGUUCCUGUACUGGAGAGACAACUGGAGGAACUCUUUCAGGUGGCUGUGUGCUGUGAGAUAUCGACCUCUGCAGCUUAACUUUCUAAAAAAAGCAUUGGUAUAUAUGUUAAUAUUUCCAGGAUGUGUAGCUGUACUUUAUGGGUGUCAUAUUCCACCCCUUGAAUGUGUUCUGUAAUAAACUGCAGAGAGAGAAAAAGAGGUGAUCGACGGGGAAGGAUAAUGAGUAUUGGAGAGGAGCUGGCAGAGUGCAUUGGGUGCCUGACGUCAUGUGGAUUCCUGGAUGUCGGAGGGGUGGUUGCCUUGGCCAACACAAACACAAAACCUACAGUAAAUGUAAGAAAUAAAAGUUCAAGCAGCAUGUUCAAGCUACAAAGGAACAGUUUGAAAAUGGAGGACAUGGUGACCAGGAGGCCCUGGGUCGAUGCUCCGAGUAAUGCAACGCUGGUACCAUAUUGAACAGCAGCCAGGAGCGCUGACUCAGACCCCCAGGGACCCCCUGUGUCCUCCAGCCUCUCAGCCAAUGAAAUUGGGUCUUGUCCCAGCCCAUGAGACGAGGAUCGUCACCACGGAGAUGACAGUAUGAACAGGAAAGUGGAGAUGCAAGCACAUCGUCGCCAGCAGAAUCUUGAUGCUUUUCAACUCCAUAGAACUACUGAAAUGGUCUCAACCAAGAAACACUCCACUACAUUACUGCAUCAAAGUAAUGUGUCUAGUGAAUUAUGGGAAACACACAAAUUAAAAAUUACCAUAGCACGUUCACAACAUUUGCAACUGAAUUGCUCCAAAUACUUUUAAGUCUAAAUAGUGUAUAUUCAGUCAAAGCAAGCAAACAGGCUGGUUCUCCUUUUUUAGAGCUUGUUGAAGUGGUAGAGUGUCUGUGAAAGUGUGAAUAGUGGAAGUUAAUUGUA